UACGAAGGGGGCUAGCGUUGCUCGGAAUCACUGGGCGUAAAGGGUGCGUAGGCGGGUCUUUAAGUCAGGGGGGAAAUCCUGGAGCUCAACUCCAGAACUGCCUUUGAUACUGAGGAUCUUGAGUUCGGGAGAGGUGAGUGGAAUUGCGAGUGUAGAGGUGAAAUUCGUAGAUAUUCGCAGGAACACCAGUGGCGAAGGCGGCUCACUGGCUCGAUACUGACGCUGAGGUGCGAAAGCGUGGGGAGCAAACAGG
rnacentral:rRNA from 1 species